GACGAACGCUGGCGGCGUGCUUAACACAUGCAAGUCGAACGGUAAGGCCUUUCGGGGUACACGAGUGGCGAACGGGUGAGUAACACGUGGGUGAUCUGCCCUGCACUUUGGGAUAAGCCUGGGAAACUGGGUCUAAUACCGAAUAGGACCAUGGACUUCACGGUUUGUGGUGGAAAGCUUUUGCGGUGUGGGAUGGGCCCGCGGCCUAUCAGCUUGUUGGUGGGGUAAUGGCCUACCAAGGCGACGACGGGCAGCCGGCCUGAGAGGGUGACCGGCCACACUGGGACUGAGAUACGGCCCAGACUCCUACGGGAGGCAGCAGUGGGAAUAUUGCACAAUGGGCGCAAGCCUGAUGCAGCGACGCCGCGUGAGGGAUGACGGCCUUCGGUUGUAACCUACUUCUAGCACAGACGAAGCGCAAGUGACGGUAUGUGCAGAAGAAGGA
rnacentral:rRNA from 1 species